GACAGAGGGCGCGAGCGUUGUUCGGAUUUACUGGGCGUAAAGGGCGUGCAGGCGGAUCUAGAAGUCGGGGGUGAAAGGCCAGGGCUCAACCCGGGACGGUCUCCCGAAACUCUAGGUCUAGAGAAAGCCAGAGGCAGGUGGAAUUCCAGGUGUAGAGGUGAAAUUCGUAGAGAUCUGGAGGAACACCGGCGGCGAAGGCGGCCUGCUGGGGCUUUUCUGACGCUGAGGCGCGAAAGCGUGGGGAGCAAACAGG
rnacentral:rRNA from 1 species